rnacentral:rRNA from 1 species
UUAUAGAGGUAGAGCUACUGAUUGGAUGCGGGGGAAGCGAUUCCUACCAAGUCCUGACAAACUCCGAAUGCUAUAAAAUAUACACUGCAGUGAGCCAUUGGGUGCUAAGGUCCAAUGACGAAAGAGAGAGAACUCAGACCAACAGCUAAGGUCCCCAAAUCUAUUCUAAGUUGAUAUAACGUGGUGCGACUGCAUUGACAGCCAGGAUGUUUGCUUGGAAGCAGCCAUUCAUUUAAAGAGUGCGUAACAGCUCACUGGUCGAGCGGUCGUGCGUGGACGAUACUCGGGCAUCAAGAAUAGUACCGAAGCUUUGGACUUAAAUUUAUUUAAGUGGUAGGGGAGCAUUCUAACUGCGUAGAAGAAGUUGCGUGAGCGCUAUUGGAGCGGUUAGAAAAGCAAAUGUAGGCAUAAGUAACGAUAAAACAGGCGAGAAACCUAUUCGCCGAUAGACUAAGGUUUCCUGAACAACGAUAAUCGGUUCAGGGUCAGUCGGGACCUAAGGUGAAGCCGAAGGGCGUAAUCGAUGGACAACUGGUUAAUAUUCCAGUACUUGUAUCACUGCGAUGGAGAGACGCAGGCGCGUAAGGUCAGCGAACUGACGGAAUAGUUCGUUUAAGUGCGUAGGUUUAGGUUCUGUAGGCAAAUCCGCAGAGCUUCUGAAACAUGAAAGUAGCCAGAGUCGUCAGACAAAGGCAUUGACCCCAAGCAUACUGCCAAGAAAAUCUUCUAAGCUUCAGGUGAAUACAACCCGUACCGCAAACCGACACAGGUAGUCAAGUAGAAUAUACUAAGGCGCUCGAGUGAUCCGCGGCUAAGGAACUAGGCAAAUUAACCCUGUAACUUCGGGAAAAAGGGUGCCACCAGCAAUGGUGGCCGCAGAGAAAUGGCGGUGGCGACUGUUUAACAAAAACACAGGGCUUUGCAAAACUGAAAGGUGAAGUAUAAGGCCUGACACCUGCCCGGUGCCGGAAGGUUAAGAGGAGAGGUUAGCGUAAGCGAAGCUUUGAAUUGAAGCCCCGGUAAACGGCGGCCGUAACUAUAACGGUCCUAAGGUAGCGAAAUUCCUUGUCGGGUAAGUUCCGACCUGCACGAAUGGUGUAACGAUCUCCGCACUGUCUCAGCCGCGAGCUCGGUGAAAUUGUGGUAUCAGUGAAGACGCUGAUUACCCGCAACGGGACGGAAAGACCCCAUGCACCUUUACUAUAGUUUAACAUUGAUUUCGGGUAAGUGAUGUGUAGGAUAGGUGGGAGACUGUGAAGCGGACACGCUAGUGUUUGUGGAGUCAACGUUGAAAUACCACCCUUUACUUACUUGGAGUCUAACUCCCAAUGGGAGGACAUUGUUUGAUGGGUAGUUUGACUGGGGUGGUCGCCUCCGAAAGGGUAUCGGAGGCUUUCAAAGGUUCCCUCAGUACGCUUGGUAACCGUACGUAGAGCGCAAUAGCAUAAGGGAGCUUGACUGUGAGACCGACAAGUCGAGCAGGUACGAAAGUAGGAUAUAGUGAUCCGGUGGUUCCGCAUGGAAGGGCCAUCGCUCAUAGGAUAAAAGGUACGC